CUGUAGAAUGAGACCAAAGCAAGACUGAAUUCUCAGGCCCAGAGCCCAGCUGGAACUGGUGGCAGCGCUAAGGCUCUAUAAGCUUUUGUACCCCAAGUCUCCACAAGGAUGUACAACCGUAAGACUCUUCUUUCAUCACAGAAGGGUUGGACAACAGAGUCUUCUCACCAAACAUUCUUGAGCCUCUGCAAGUGGAGGUUAGAGGAAGCAGUGUUUUUGACAGAAAUCUGUUGAAGGCCUUGAAAAAGCAACUUGCUCUGCGAUACGAAUGAAAAGGAGAAAUCCAUGCAAAUAGGACACUGGUAAAGAGCCCUUCAAAAAAGAAGACAGACACAUGUGACUCAACCCUGCUGGCCUUGCCAAGAAGUCUAGACCCAAGAGUCUCCCUGUGGAGGGGGUAAUCCUGCUGCUGCCGCUGUUUCCUCAUCAGCCUUGGCGGAGCCCGGACUCUACCGAGAGACCUCUCUAGUCAGAGGAUUUCAGUUGCUUGCGAGCAACAACUUCUCCCUCAACAACUGCCCCCCAGCACUCUGGUAUGUAUAUAUAUGGGGGUAUGUGGGUAUAUUGAAGCCAAAGAUUGAUGUUGGGUGUCUUUUUCAAUUGUUCUCUACCUUAUUUUUAAAAUAUUUAUUCAUUUUUAUUGAGCUAUAUAUUUCCCCCCUCCCCUUCCCUCCUCCUCUCCCCUCUUCCAUCUUGCCCCUGCCCCCAUGCUCCCAAUUUACUCAGGAGAGCUUGUCUAUUUCCCCUUCCUAGGUGCAUCUAUGUGUGUCUCUUUAGGGGUCAUCUAGGUUCUCUGGGGUUGUGGACUGUAGGCUGGUUGUCCUUUGCUUUAUAUCUAGUAUCCACUUAUGAGUAAGUACAUAUAUUUGUCUUUCUGGGUCUGGGUUAUCUCAGGAUAUUUGCAGGCAAAUGGAUGGAACUAAAAUAUUUAUUUUUAUGUCCAUGAGUGUUUAAUUACAUUUAUGUCUAUGAAACAUAUGUAUGCAGUGCCAAAGUUGUUCAGAAGAGGGCAUUAGGUAUUCUGGAACAGGAGUUACAGACAGCUGGGCGCUGCCAUGUGGGUUGUGGGAACUGAACCUAGGUCCUCUGUAA